UACGAAGGGGGCUAGCGUUGCUCGGAAUCACUGGGCGUAAAGGGCGCGUAGGCGGCCUGAUCAGUCGGGGGUGAAAGCCUGUGGCUCAACCACAGAAUGGCCUCGAUACUGUCAGGCUUGAGACCGGAAGAGGUAAGUGGAACUGCGAGUGUAGAGGUGAAAUUCGUAGAUAUUCGCAAGAACACCAGUGGCGAAGGCAGCUUACUGGUCCGGAUCUGACGCUGAGGCGCGAAAGCGUGGGGAGCAAACAGGG
rnacentral:rRNA from 1 species